rnacentral:rRNA from 1 species
AUUGAACGCUGGCGGCAGGCCUAACACAUGCAAGUCGAGCGGAUGAAGGGAGCUUGCUCCUGGAUUCAGCGGCGGACGGGUGAGUAAUGCCUAGGAAUCUGCCUGGUAGUGGGGGAUAACGUCCGGAAACGGGCGCUAAUACCGCAUACGUCCUGAGGGAGAAAGUGGGGGAUCUUCGGACCUCACGCUAUCAGAUGAGCCUAGGUCGGAUUAGCUAGUUGGUGGGGUAAAGGCCUACCAAGGCGACGAUCCGUAACUGGUCUGAGAGGAUGAUCAGUCACACUGGAACUGGGACACGGUCCAGACUCCUGCGGGAGGCAGCAGUGGGGAAUGUUGGACAGUGGGCGAAAACCUGGUCCAGCCAUGCCGCGUGUGUGAAAAAGAUCUUCGGAUUGUAAAGCACUUUAAGUUGGGAGAAAGCGCAGUAGGUUAAUACCUUGCUGUUUUGACGUUACCAACAGAAUAAGCACCGGCUAACUUCGUG